ACGAACGCUGGCGGCGUGCUUCACACAUGCAAGUCGAACGGAAAGGCCCCUUUGGGGGUACUCGAGUGGCGAACGGGUGAGUAACACGUGAGUAACCUGCCCUUGACUUCGGGAUAACUUCAGGAAACUGGGGCUAAUACCGGAUAGGAAUCCUUGCUGCAUGGUGGGGGUUGGAAAGCUUCGGCGGUUUUGGAUGGACUCGCGGCUUAUCAGCUUGUUGGUGGGGUAGUGGCUUACCAAGGCUUUGACGGGUAGCCGGCCUGAGAGGGCGACCGGCCACAUUGGGACUGAGAUACGGCCCAGACUCCUACGGGAGGCAGCAGUGGGGAAUAUUGCACAAUGGGCGGAAGCCUGAUGCAGCAACGCCGCGUGCGGGAUGACGGCCUUCGGGUUGUAAACCGCUUUCAGCAGGGGCGAAGCUUGUGGUGACGGUACCUGCAGAAGAAGCACCGGCUAACUACGUGC
rnacentral:rRNA from 1 species